rnacentral:lncRNA from 1 species
CAACAACAACAACAUUUUAUUAGCAAACAUCGACAAGAACUUGCCUUUGGCUAAUGAACAGAAAAAGAAAAUACUGAUACAAUAGAUAUGUAAUCAUACAUGACAUGUUAUGAAUAUGUUGAUAGUAAGUAUAUAAUAGCAUGUACAUAUAGCGGCAGCAUGAACAGAAAAAGGUAAUAUUACCUAUAAACAGUUAUCAUAAUUAUUAAGUACAUAAUUACACCUCUGCAUUUCUGAUACUAUAUGCUUCUUUAAGGUAUUUACAAAUAUUCAAAAUAGUUUUCCUUUUAUUUGAACUCAUUAGACAGUUAAAUAAAUUGACAUUUGGCCACGAAAUGCGUGGCAAAAAUUUGGUACGGAUAUUAGAAUAUUUUUGACAAUAAUAAUUAAGAUC